rnacentral:lncRNA from 1 species
AUGCAAAUACGCCGCUUUAUCCGCCCCGAGCGCACCCAGAGCACGGGCGAACGUUCCAGACAUCCACAGCCCCUUCCUAUUUAUCGAAUCCAUACCAAGAUAUUGUCUCAAGAUGGGGAAACAACAACCCAAACAAAAAAUAAACAAAAAGAACCUCGGACUCCUUUCUUGUCGCUGUCCGGGGAGUUCCCGGGGCAAAUCUGGUCUGAUACGCACUUAGGCCGAGCUACAGUUCGAGCCACCGCGCUACGCAAAGCCACCGCCAGCAGCACGCUCUGCGCUUCCUCCCUGGCAGGUCCACAGUCCUCUCCCGGCUCGCGGGAGGUGGGGAGUGCGGUCGCCAGUCCGUUGCGCCAAGAAUUCCACCCACGCACCUAUUCCCUCUCCCAGCGCUUCAGACACCUCUCUCAUCGAAAAACUGGGCGAAAGGAAGCCGUCAACGAGCAGAGAACUCCGGCUGAAUUAACGGCGACUCCCAGAAGCUCCUGACGCUGUGACAGCUGUCGCUCGGGCAGCCCGAGGGACGAAUUGUCCUCCUUCUUGGUGCCAGAGGACGCAGGAAAUUAGCCAGGUUGCGAGUUGCAAAGCUGCUGCCGCGGCGCCGGGAACGGGGCGCGCCCCAUCUCCAGCGGGAGCCGCCAGGCCUGGCCUGGUCGGGGCUUCCCUUCGCUCGCCAUCUCCGGACAAAGCGCAGCCCAGCCAGGCUCGAAGGCAGAGCUCCGAAGCAGGCAGGACGGAGCGGAGCAAAAGAAUGCGGCUCUAUUCUCGCAAGGGAAAUU